UACGUAGGAUGCGAGCGUUAUCCGGAAUUACUGGGUGUAAAGGGAGCGCAGGCGGGACUGCAAGUUGGAUGUGAAAUGCCGCAGCUUAACUGCGGAGCUGCAUCCAAAACUGUAGUUCUUGAGUGGAGUAGAGGCAAGCGGAAUUCCGAGUGUAGCGGUGAAGUGCGUAGAUAUUCGGAGGAACACCAGUGGCGAAGGCGGCUUGCUGGGCUCUAACUGACGCUGAGGCUCGAAAGUGUGGGGAGCAAACAGG
rnacentral:rRNA from 1 species